rnacentral:sRNA from 1 species
GCCCAAAUUCGCACGUGCCUGUGGUCGCGUGUCGGUCGGUAGGAUCUCCGGACAAGAGGCCGGAAAGCUGCCAGGACGACCGAUAGCCGGAGGGAACCGGCCCACCCCGCUCCUCAUGCGGGGGACGUGACUUGAAGCAACGACGUAAGGGCUUUU